UACGAAGGGGGCUAGCGUUGCUCGGAAUUACUGGGCGUAAAGGGCGCGUAGGCGGAUAGUUUAGUUGGGGGUGAAAGCCCCGGGGCUCAACCUCGGAACUGCCUUCAAUACUGGCUAUCUUGAGUACGGGAGAGGUGUGGUGGAACUCCGAGUGUAGAGGUGAAAUUCGUAGAUAUUCGGAAGAACACCAGUGGCGAAGGCGACACACUGGCCCGUUACUGACGCUGAGGCGCGAAAGCGUGGGGAGCAAACAGG
rnacentral:rRNA from 1 species